rnacentral:rRNA from 1 species
CACGUGUAGCAGUGAAAUGCGUAGAGAUGUGGAGGAAUACCGAUGGCGAAGGCAGCCCCCUGGGAUAACACUGACGUUCAUGCUCGAAAGCGUGGGUAGCAAACAGGAUUAGAUACCCUGGUAGUCCACGCCCUAAACGAUGUCAAUUAGCUGUUGGGCAACUUGAUUGCUUAGUAGCGUAGCUAACGCGUGAAAUUGACCGCCUGGGGAGUACGGUCGCAAGAUUAAAACUCAAAGGAAUUGACGGGGACCCGCACAAGCGGUGGAUGAUGUGGAUUAAUUCGAUGCAACGCGAAGAACCGUACCUGGUCUUGACAUGUACGGAAUCUCUCAGAGACGGGAGAGUGCCUUCGGGAGCCGUAACACAGGUGCUGCAUGGCUGUCGUCAGCUCGUGUCGUGAGAUGUUGGGUUAAGUCCCGCAACGAGCGCAACCCUUGUCAUUAGUUGCCAUCAUUUAGUUGGGCACUCUAAUGAGACUGCCGGUGACAAACCGGAGGAAGGUGGGGAUGACGUCAAGUCCUCAUGGCCCUUAUGACCAGGGCUUCACACGUCAUACAAUGGUCGGUACAGAGGGUCGCCAAGCCGCGAGGUGGAGCCAAUCUCACAAAACCGAUCGUAGUCCGGAUUGCACUCUGCAACUCGAGUGCAUGAAGUCGGAAUCGCUAGUAAUCGCAGGUCAGCAUACUGCGGUGAAUACGUUCCCGGGUCUUGUACACACCGCCCGUCACACCAUGGGAGUGGGGGAUACCAGAAGU